UCUUAGCUAUCCGACGACAUCAAUUCUCCAUCGACGCUGCUCACAAGUCUGCAGCUAUCAAUGCAGUGUUCUCCUCUUUUGAUCAUAUCAACGGAUCUGAUCAAUCUUACCAUGAUCUGCCACCUCACCAACUAUUGUUGUCUGUCCCAAGCGCUCCCCCUUCUUUUCACAAAGCGUUCUCUGUUGGCGAAUCACUCCCCUUCUUCCUUUGGCAAUUGAUAUCCGUCGUUGUCGAUCUUUCUCACCGACGGAUUGUUGCUCACUAUCGAGUGCUCUCUCAUGCCCGUGCAUCUUCUCUCGCACCCAUGCGUUUGCUAAUAAGGAUUGGAAUCAUUCAAAGGGUACCACCAUCAAACACCAAUCUCUCUGUGUCACUAUUGUAAGAGGGGGCCUUUCUCCCUCCUUCCAAUAAGCUUGAUU
rnacentral:lncRNA from 1 species